rnacentral:rRNA from 1 species
UACGUAGGGGGCGAGCGUUGUCCGGAUUCAUUGGGCGUAAAGCGCGCGCAGGCGGUUGGGAGAGCCCGGCGUGAAAGCCCCCAGCUCAACUGGGGGAGGCCGUCGGGGACCUUCCGACUGGAGGCCGGUAGGGACGAGCGGAAUUCCCGGUGUAGUGGUGGAAUGCGUAGAUAUCGGGAGGAACACCAGUGGCGAAGGCGGCUCGCUGGACCGGUCCUGACGCUCAGGCGCGAAAGCGUGGGGAGCGAUCCGG